AUGGAGGCCAAGAAGUUGAGGGUGUGCGCCAUUGCCGCCCUGUGCGUGCUCCUGCUUGUGCUGCCGGGGCAGGUCGCCGCCAAGUCCAAGUUCUGCGUGUGCUACGAGGACUGCUACCGUCAAUGCAGGCACCACAUCCUGCGAUUCGCCUGCGUUCCGUUCUGCUCCAACAAGUGCAGCCCCAACCAGGCCGCCGCCGCCGCCGGCGGUGCCGGCGGUAACCGCGACCGGUGCAGGGCGGCGUGUGCCAAAGUCAAAAUCUGCGGCCAGUCAGAUCCGUCCGUGCAAAUUCCUGGUCUCACGGUGCACAUGGCUUCUACUUCCCUUCAUCAUCAACAGCCGGCGGUGAUGAGGUCGACGCUGUCGGUCACGGAUGCGGUGAGUGUGAGGACGACCACCAGGGCGAGGGUGAGCACGAACACAGACGGUGAGGGCGAGGACGAUUCCGACAGUGGCGCUUUGGGCUGUUGGUGGAUGUUCGAGACCGUCCCCCGCUCCCCCGAUCUAGGGUUCCUCCCUUCCCCUGCCGCCGCCGGCCGCCGGCCACCGGCCGCCCCCGCCCCAGCCCCCCUCCCCGGGCCCCCUCUCUCCCUUCCCCCGGAUCUGCUCCGCGCCGCCUCCCCGGGAGGUGGCCGGGGCGACGCGAGCCCUGCCCCCCCUUCGGCCGCCCUCGUCGCUCCUUCCCACUCUGUCACCGCCGAUGGGCGCCCCGGCGCUUGCCAGGUGGUGUUGGCGGAGGCGGGGCUUGCCUAUCCCCGCGCGCGCGGCUCACGCGGUGGUGGCGUGGCCCCUUGGCGGCGAGACGGCGUGGUAGCACUGGUUGGCCGGUGGCGCGCCCCCAGCCCAGAUCGGGGCCCGCGGGCCCCAUAUGGGUCCUAG
rnacentral:rRNA from 1 species